rnacentral:rRNA from 1 species
UACGUAGGGUGCAAGCGUUAAUCGGAAUUACUGGGCGUAAAGCGUGCGCAGGCGGUUUUGUAAGUCUGUCGUGAAAGCCCCGGGCUCAACCUGGGAAUUGCAUUGGAGACUGCAAGGCUAGAAUCUGGCAGAGGGGGGUAGAAUUCCACGUGUAGCAGUGAAAUGCGUAGAGAUGUGGAGGAACACCGAUGGCGAAGGCAGCCCCCUGGGUCAAGAUUGACGCUCAUGCACGAAAGCGUGGGGAGCAAACAGG